AGAGCCAUUCUCUGUAAGGACCAAAAUUAGUGUUCACACCUAUGUCACAGAUUUUUACCAUUCUUUGUACACAUACUACAUAACUAACAUACUUUACAAAUAACACUUUAAAAAUUGAUUUUGGGCUUUGUUACUAUGGAAAUGGCGGCCAUUUUGAUUUUGGGCUUUUUUUUCAAUGAAAAUAUGAAAAAAAUUCCUAAAUAUCAAUGAUAAUUUUCCCGUAAUCCUGACAGUAAAUGAUGCAGACAAUUAUCACAUCUGAAAGCUGUUACCUUUGCCUUUUAAAAAAUAUAUUACAUAUUUGGCUGACAAUUGUGUACAUAUGCUUAUUUUCUAUAGGAGAAGGGGGUGAUUCUGGCAUCUAAAUGAAAACCAAAUUUCACCAAAAUUCAUUGAAGCUUUGAAAACAUUUCCGAGAUAGUUUUUUGAAAAUAUUGUCAAAAUCAUAAAGAUAAACCCCCCAUUUAAAAAUUAAAAAAAAUUCAGGGAUGUGUUUUUUGAUUUAAGAAAAAAAAUGUGGAUUGAAAACUUGAAAAAAUAAACUAUGUGUCUAUGAAUUAUCUCCCCUUUAUGGUUCUUCUUCAUUGAAAACAUAAAGAAACAACAGGAAGUACAAGGGUUAAUGCCCAAAAUAAAGUGCAGACGAAAUGCAGACACUGAUAAAACCAUUACAAUGUUGGUAAAAAUAAGAUAUAUCAAGGUAAAUAGGACUAUGGAGUGAAAUUUCUCUCCAAAGUUUGUGGAUUGUGAUAAACUCAUUUGAUGAACCUCUUGCCAAACAAUGAAACAGUGAAACACAUGCAGUACAUACAUGUACCAAAUGUUUGCUAUUUUUUCUGAGAAUGGUCUUAAACCAUCAGUAGCUCUAGAUCUCCACAUCAAUAUUGUAUUUCAAUUAAAUGAAGAAGAAAAAAUAAUUCAAAUUGUGCACAUCGCAUGUUAUGCCAACAAAAAGUUUUCAUCCAGAUAUUGACCACAUCAACUUGAUCAAGGAUUCUGGACACAAGUCGUUACCUUACAGAACUAGCAUUAAACUAGCAAGUAGUGGACCGAAGGAAAAGGAUUUUAUUCAUCUUAUUAACUAGACAAGAAUCAUGUUGUACUUUGUUUCUGAAGAAAAUAAGAAUAGAUGUCAAUGAUGCAGUACCUGAAGGUUAAAUGAGAGUGAUGUAACACAGGCAAGAAUUUAAGUGAAUGAAACAGCAUCACUUCUAAAAGUAGCAUGGAAUUUUUAUCAUAGAAAUAAUCCAGCAGUUUCCAGAUUAUGAAUUUCACCAUGUUAAUGAGUUUUACAAGCAGUUUGGAUGAGGUGUUUUUCAGAAGAAGAAAUGAGUUCGAAGAAUAUGUAUUCUAAAAGUUCCAAAUCUGUUUAUUGUAAUAGAUUACUUGAAAUAAUGAAGAAAAUUAUUACAACUGUUUUUCCACAAAAUAUAGAAGAUGUCCUUCAUUCACUGACAAUGUAAUUGAGUUCUAAUAACCAGGAACAGAAACCUCAAGUAUUACCAAAAGGUUCAUUUGGUUCUUUUGUUGAUUCAUUGGAAAAGGCUGAAUCUUAGCGCCACUAAAAAAAUACUGUCAUUCUAGACACAGACCAUGUUGUAUAAUCAAGUUUAUCAGAUGCUUCCAGACAUAUCUGAGAAUAAAUGUUAUGUGACAUCUAGCUGCAAAAUAAAACUGAUUUCAAGUUU